rnacentral:rRNA from 1 species
UACAUGGGGUGCAAACGUUGCUCGGAGUUAUUGGGCGUAAAGCGCGUGUAGGCGGUUACUCAAGUCGGAUGUGAAAGCCCUCGGCUUAACUGAGGAAGUGCACCCGAAACUGAGUAGCUAGAGUACUAAAGAGGGUCGCGGAAUUCCCGGUGUAGAGGUGAAAUUCGUAGAUAUCGGGAGGAACACCGGUGGCGAAGGCGGCGACCUGGGUAGAUACUGACGCUGAGGCGCGAAAGCGUGGGGAGCAAACAGG